rnacentral:rRNA from 1 species
CGUAACGCGUAUACAAUCUACCUUUUGCUGAGGGAUAGCCCAGAGAAAUUUGGAUUAAUACCUCAUAGUAUUAUCGAGUGGCAUCAUUUAAUAAUUAAAGGUUACGGCAAAAGAUGAGUAUGCGUACCAUUAGUUUGUUGGUAAGGUAACGGCUUACCAAGACUACGAUGGUUAGGGGUCCUGAGAGGGAGAUCCCCCACACUGGUACUGAGACACGGACCAGACUCC